GCACCCAGAGACGAGGAAUGCGUAGUAAUGGACGAGAUGUUUCAGGGAGUUGAAAUUAAGCAUAAAUCCACAGAUUUUCGAAUAGUGCAACCUUUCUAAUUGCUGCUAAAUCCAUGGGCAAGUAAGAGACAACAUGGUGAACUGAAACAAUUUAGUAGCUGGAUAAAAAGAAAGCAAAAGUGAUUCCCAUAGUAACGGCGAGCAAAAUGAAAGUAGUCUAAACCGUGGAAAUGGAAUUAUGGGAGAGCAUUACAAGCAUUGUGCUGCUAGGCGAAAUAGCCCGAAUACUACAUCCUAGAUGGAGAAAGUCCAGUAGCCAUAGCCCAUAAGUAUUACUAACUUACGCUCUGACCCGAGUAAUAUAGGGCACGUGAAAUUAAUCCCAUGCGAAUCAGCAAGGACCAUCUUGCCAGGCUAAAUAUUCUAGGGUGGC
rfam:Nicotiana attenuata strain TT chromosome 7, whole genome shotgun sequence.